rnacentral:rRNA from 1 species
AUUGAACGCUGGCGGAAUGCUUUACACAUGCAAGUCGAACGGCAGCACGGACUUCGGUCUGGUGGCGAGUGGCGAACGGGUGAGUAAUGUAUCGGAACGUGCCCAGUCGUAGGGGAUAACGAAGUGAAAAUUACGCUAAUACCGCAUACGAUCUAUGGAUGAAAGCGGGGGAUCGCAAGACCUCGCGCGAUUGGAGCGGCCGAUAUCAGAUUAGGUAGUUGGUGGGGUAAAGGCCCACCAAGCCAACGAUCUGUAGCUGGUCUGAGAGGACGACCAGCCACACUGGAACUGAGACACGGUCCAGACUCCUACGGGAGGCAGCAGUGGGGAAUUUUGGACAAUGGGCGAAAGCCUGAUCCAGCCAUUCCGCGUGCAGGAUGAAGGCCCUCGGGUUGUAAACUGCUUUUGUACAGAACGAAAAGGUCUCUCUUAAUACGGGGGACUCAUGACGGGACCGUAAGAAUAAGCACCGGCUAACUACGUGCCAGCCGCCGCCGUAA